ACCCCCAGUCCCCACCACAGCAUCUACGGCGCUGUACAGCAUUAAGGUCGGGCGGUCGGGCUCGGGCCAUUACCACUCCUCCAUACAGCAGGAACGGCAGCGGUCGAAUGGCGCCCCGGCCGGCCGGCCCCAACGAAAACAGCCGGGCACGCAAAAGGGACGAAGGCACGAAAGACGCGGCCGCCACCGGCGGUCGGCGUAGAAACCAAAGGCACGAAGGGACACUGCGUGGGGAGGGGAAGGGCGGAGAGCGCCAGCCACGCGGUGGGGGGAAAACCCGAAAAGAGAAAGGGCUGUGUACCUUUCGCUUUGUUGCCUGGCUCUGGUAUUGGGUUCCCCGUUCUGCUGCUCAGCUCAGCCCAGCCCCAGAGCCCCUGACCUGCCGUCCUCCCUCCUUCCCUCCCCGUGAGUCGCCGUACGGCGGUACGGGAUCGCCACCGCGGCGUCCAGGGAUGGCGGACGGGAGCCUCUACGCCUGGUGGUGCUGUGCCUUGGGCUGGGCGCUGGCGCUUGUCGCAGCGGACGGCUUCCUCGUGGACAUCACCUAUGUGGAAAGCGCCGUGGCCAAAGGAGCAGUGUGUUUGGAUGGUAGUGCGCCGGCGUACCAUCUCGCCCGCGGCUCCGGCUCCGGUGAGAACAGCUGGCUGGUCCAUUUCGAGGGGGGAGGAUGGUGCAACAAUGUCACCACCUGCCUGCAACGGAAGCGCACUCGGUUGGGUUCGUCCAAGGAGAUGGCGACGCAGAUUGCCUUCUCCGGAAUCCUGAGUGACACGCCGGAUGACAACCCAGAUUUUUACAAUUGGAACAAGGUCAAGGUUCGGUACUGUGAUGGUUCAUCUUUCACUGGAGAUGUUGAAGAAGUUGACCCUGCAACAAAGCUACAUUAUAGAGGUGCCAGGAUAUGGCAAGCUGUCAUGGACGACCUGCUUGCCAAAGGGAUGGACAAAGCUGAAAAUGCUCUAAUUUCAGGCUGUUCUGCUGGUGGUUUAACCUCCAUACUACACUGUGACAGAUUUCAUGACCUUCUGCCGCCGGCUGCGAGGGUUAAGUGCCUUUCUGAUGCUGGGUUCUUCAUUAAUGAGAAAGACGUUGCAGGAGUUGGGUACAUUGCUGCCUUUUUCAACGACGUCGUUACAACACAUGGGUCAGCAAAGAAUUUGCCGCCUUCAUGCACUUCGACGUUACCUCCAGGAACGUGCUUUUUCCCCCAGAACGAGGUGAAACAGAUACAGACACCUCUGUUCAUCCUCAACGCAGCAUAUGAUUCAUGGCAGGUAAGGAACAUUUUGGUGCCAGGAGUAGCUGACCCUCAUGGAAAAUGGCAUAGCUGUAAGCAUGAUAUAGACCAGUGCUCUGCAUCGCAGCUACGGGAUUCAGGGGUGAUUUUCUGAAGGAAGUGGCAGAACUAGGGAACUCCGACUCGAGAGGGUUGUUCAUAAACUCAUGCUUCGUGCACUGCCAGUCUGAGAUACAGGAGCUAUGGUUCUCAUCUGACUCCCCCGUGCUCGGAAACACAACAGUAGCAAACGCUGUUGGCGACUGGUUCUUCGACCGCAGCUCCUUCCAGAAGAUAGACUGCCCAUACCCUUGUGACUCGACCUGUCACAAUCGGAUCUACGAUGACUCAUCACAAGCAUAGCAAUUACAGUGGCCUCACUUCGUACUGCCAUUCACCAUGUUAUUACAUUUGACGCUUCCAGCAUUGCUAACAGUAGGGCAAUGCGUUGAUAGCCAUUGAUUUUUUUUUUCUUUUUACGAAUAAGAUCAGGUGCCGGCGGCUUUAACUCGGUUGCUACCGGAAAGUGAGCGUGCAUCUUCCGACGGUACAUGGCAUGGUUUAUCUGGAUGGAUGAAUCGAUAAUCAUAAAUUCUUAAAAACACAAUAAAUAUUCUAGAAUUUUUAUGUUGUGCAA